CAUGUGGUUUAUGAUGUUGCUCUUUUUUCCCCAUCAUAUCGACCAUGGUGAUUUCUUUCGAAAUAAGCCAAAUCUUCUGAAACCACAAC